AUUGAACGCUGGCGGCAUGCCUUACACAUGCAAGUCGAACGGCAGCACGGGUGCUUGCACCUGGUGGCGAGUGGCGAACGGGUGAGUAAUACAUCGGAACGUACCUUAUCGUGGGGGAUAACGCAGCGAAAGCUGUGCUAAUACCGUAUACGCCCUGAGGGGGAAAGUGGGGGAUCGAAAGACCUCGCGCGAUUAGAGCGGCCGAUGCCUGAUUAGCUUGUUGGUGGGGUAAAAGCCCACCAAGGCGACGAUCAGUAGCUGGUCUGAGAGGACGAUCAGCCACACUGGGACUGAGACACGGCCCAGACUCCUACGGGAGGCAGCAGUGGGGAAUUUUGGACAAUGGGGGCAACCCUGAUCCAGCAAUGCCGCGUGAGUGAAGAAGGCCUUCGGGUUGUAAAGCUCUUUUGUCAGGGAAGAAACACCGGCUCUAACACAGUCCGGGAAUGACGGUACCUGAAGAAUAAGCACCGGCUAACUACGUGCCAGCAGCCGCCGCAG
rnacentral:rRNA from 1 species